UUGUUGACAGGAAAUUUUCUUCUUGCAAACUUCUUCGGAUUGGAUAUCAUCAAAGCGUAUUCCUCACUAGUCAGAUCACACUCAGAUAUGUCAGUCUCUUCUUCAUCCUCUGGUUUCUGUUCGAAAGCUCUAAAUUCAGACAACAACAAGGUUUGUAUGGAGUGUUCCUAAUCUUCAUCGAUCGAAUAGAGUUCUUUCAAUCUAUCCCAGAUUUCUUUGGCUGUUGUGCACGAACCAACCAACCGAAAGGUGUCAAACUGCAAGGCGAAUUUGAUCAUCCUCAUGGCCUUUACAUUACAAAGCUAUUUAUCUUUCUCGUCCUGCGACAUCUUGUCUAUGUCCGCCACCAGCUAGUUGUACUCCUUUUGGGACUUGACAGUCCUGCGAAACAGAGUUACUGUCGAUAUGAAGAAGACAACUUCUAUUUAUACGAUAAAAGCGGAAACCCUAAAGUAUUCUGAAUACAGAAUGAAUGUGUAUUGAUCACACAAUCUCCUGCUCUGAUACCAAUUGUUAGAUCAAAGAUNGACUUGACAAUUGUGUUCAUGUGCUUUCACAGUUGACACUAUGACCAUCCAUUCUGAUCUCAGCCCAUUCAUAAAAGUUACUUUCUGCUCGAUCAAUUUCCUCUCUGUUCCAUGCUUGAUCAUCUUACUCAGGAGAUGAUUGAACCGAUCGAAAGUUUGUAUGAGUUUUUCCUCUGGUUUCUGUUCGAAAGCUCUAAAUUCAGACAACAACAAGGUUUGUAUGGAGUGUUCCUAAUCUUCAUCGGUCGAAUAGAGCUCUUUCAAUCUAUCCCAGAUUUCUUUGGCUGUUGUGCACGAACCAACCAACCGAAAGGUGUCAAACUGCAAGGCGAAUUUGAUCAUCCUCAUGGCCUUUACAUUACAAAGCUAUUUAUCUUUCUCGUCCUGCGACAUCUUGUCUAUGUCCGCCACCAGCUAGUUGUACUCCUUUUGGGACUUGACAGUCCUGCGAAACAGAGUUACUGUCGAUAUGAAGAAGACAACUUCUAUUUAUACGAUAAAAGCGGAAACCCUAAAGUAUUCUGAAUACAGAAUGAAUGUGUAUUGAUCACACAAUCUCCUGCUCUGAUACC
rnacentral:lncRNA from 1 species